UUAAGGCCUCUUUCUCAGCGUGUUCUGUGAUGUGCACUUGUGAACUCAGUACCGCUUACUUCACCAUCAUUGCAAAAUCAGCACUUCAAGGUAUCAAGGACCCAACAGCAACUCGGCUCUCCGGGGGCAGAACAAAAGCACGGGCCCAUUGUACUCUCCUGCCUACUUGUCGCUCGCUGCUGUUCACAGUUGUUGGCAUUUCAAGGGAUAGGAAUUGGAUCAUGGAAUGCAUUCUUGCCCAUCCUUGAGUCCCAUGUAUCAUGGGUGAAGAGCACCCUUUUGGUUUCUGAAAUGAAUUCUGAGCACUUAGUAACAGGGAGCUGGGUUUUACAAAUCAGUUAUGCUUUGAGCAGUGGGAAAACCCUCAAGAUUACAGUGUUGAACUCAGUCCAUAUGGGGCAGUUAAGAACCAAGUAAAAUUGGAGGAAGAACUCCAGCUUACGAGAAUUCGGAGGACCUAACGACCAUGGUGGUGGAAAUGGCUAGGGUUCUUCAGUGGGUAGGGGUGGAGGGUAGGGAAAUAUGUCACCCCAGACAUUUUGAUCACUCAGCCUCCUUUGACCUGCUCUUGAACCCGGGCCCCGUGUACACUCCCUGUCCCCUAGAAUAGCCAGUAGGACCGACCUAAACUGCUGUGAUUAUGAGACCUAGUGCUGAUGACUCAAGUAUAGGCUAGAGCUCAUCACACUAGGCCCCUAGACCAAAUUCAGUGGCUGCCUGCUUUAUUGGAGUACAGCCAAGCUCAUUCAUUUAGGUAUUGUCCAUGGCUGCCUUUAUGCAAGAAUGGUAGAAUAGAUGCAAAGCUUAAAAUAUUUACUCUCUGGUCCUUUAUAGAAAAAAAUCUGACCACUGGAGUAGGGGCUGGAGAAGGACAGGAUAGGCUUAGUGGAGUCAAGAGGUAGGCUCUUAUUGAUGCUAUGGUUUUGGAACAAGUUACCCCAAAACAUAGUAAAUGGCAUAAAAUGACCAUUUCUUAGGCUUACAGAUUCUAUAGUUUACAACAGGGCAGAGAGGGGACACUUAUCUCUGCUUCGUGAUGGGUGAGGUCUCAGCUGGAAGAGUCUAAGGUUUCUACAAGGCUUGAAGGCCUGAGGCUCCUUAAGCAUCUCUCCAGCAUUCUUACCUGUUGACUCAGCAUUCCCAGGUGUGUGUGUGUGUGUGUGUCAGCAUUCCCAAGCGUGUGUGUGUGUGUCUGUGUGUGUCAGCAUUCCCAGGUGUGUGUGUGUGUGUGUCUGUGUCUGUGUCAUUUUAAGGAAAGCAAAAAGGAGUAACAUUUGUCUCCAUCUUUGUAAAAGCUGCUAUGUGGGGUAGACCCCUCACCCAGAGCAUCCUUGCCUUCAGGCUCCCUAUCCUCACUACUGUCUUUCCCUUGUUACCCACACAUGCAUGCCCUACUUGGCACAACCUCCUUCCAGAC
ensembl:lncRNA